AGCGAACGCUAGCGGCGGGCCUAACACAUGCAAGUCGAGCGGGGGAGCAAUCCCCAGCGGCGGACGGGUGAGUAACACGUAGGUUAUGUGCCCUUUGGUGGGGAAUAACCGUGGGAAACCAUGGCUAAUUCCGCAUAUCGAGCGAAAUCUUGAAGGCCUUCGGGCGCCAAAGGAGCAACCUGCGGCCCAUUAGCUUGUUGGUAGGGUAACGGCCUACCAAGGCGAUGAUGGGUAGCUGGUCUGAGAGGAUGAUCAGCCACACUGGAACUGAGACACGGUCCAGACUCCUACGGGAGGCAGCAGUGGGGAAUAUU
rnacentral:rRNA from 1 species